rnacentral:misc_RNA from 1 species
AGUGCCUGAAACUGGUGUGACUUUUGCUGAUGUUGCUGGAGCUGACCAAGCCAAGCUUGAAUUGCAAGAAGUGGUUGAUUUCUUGAAAAACCCUGACAAGUACACAGCUCUUGGAGCUAAAAUCCCAAAAGGGUGUCUCCUUGUAGGACCGCCUGGUACCGGAAAAACUCUUCUGGCCCGGGCCGUGGCCGGUGAAGCUGGUGUGCCAUUCUUCUCGUGUGCUGCCUCAGAGUUUGUAGAACUGUUUGUUGGUGUGGGUGCUUCAAGAGUGCGGGACUUGUUCGACAAAGCCAAGUCCAAAGCUCCUUGCAUUGUGUUCAUUGAUGAGAUU